rnacentral:lncRNA from 1 species
UUCCAAAAAAAAAUCAAAUAAUUUGACUAAAUAUUCGCUUAGUUACAUUCCUAAUCUACCAAAUCCUAACAGUAUGUAAAUGAUCCGCAUUAAUCGUUACAAUUAGAUCCUUCCUUAUUUGAAACUUUCCUACAUAAAAUCAAAAGCCAAUCGGAUCUUGCUAAUCCUACCAAAAAACAAAUUAAAACGACAUUAGUUAUUUGAUUAUGGGUCGCAAUCAAUAAUACAGAUUCUGAUAAUAUAACAGAUAUGUUAAUCACAACCUAUUUAAUUGCUAAAUAUAUUCGGCAAAUAUCUUUUGUUUCCUAAUAAAAUUGAACAAUAUAACAUCUACAUUCAAUAGCAACAAGAACAAUUGGAAAUUUUGCAUAAAUAAACGAUUUUACUCUUAUUUUCUAUAGCAUCUAUGUGGUAUAUUAUAUAACUUUUCGAUUUUAAAGAUUUUUAAUAGCAUAUUUCCAUUUACAGCUAGAAUUAAUAUUCGUAGAUAUCUUAAUUUCAUUGAUUUUUGGAACUAAUUCCAUAACAACCUUAAUUAUUAUUUAUUUAGUUUUCUAAUUCUAGGCAAUUUAUAAUUAACUCAAGAGAUUUUGCUUGCUCAAAAAGAUUUUGCGCAAAUGUAUCAUACCUAAACCUAAUCGUAUAUGUCCUCUAUAUAUAUCCAUUUCAUUUCCAAGAGAAAACAUCACUUCUAAACAAAGUUAAAUUUUUUUUCCAAAACACCUUCAAUUCUUUUCAUCCUAAAGUUACCUCUUUUUCAUUUUCCAUUCGUAUGGUUCUUCGUGACAUGAACAAAGAUUUGACUGGCGAUUCUGUCUUAGAAUCCUUAUAAUCUGAAAGCAAAAAGGAAUUCAGAGAGAUACUACAUAAUUAGUUUUAGCGGAUGAAAGGUGGUUCAAUCGAUUUCUAUCUAACUCUUUUACUAUCAUUCUUUUUCUACCAUUUCUCAAAAAAAAUUGACAUCUUGGUUUUGUUUUUCUGAUUUGUUUCUUCUCUAUUUGUAUCUUUGAAUUGUUAGGUUGAUAGGAUUGCAACAACCUAUAAACAACGCUAAACCAAUGAUAACUCCCUCAAGUUUUCAAUCAGCAAAACAAAUGGACUCAUCAACCUAUGUCAAUCAUCAAAACAAACAUCAGGACCAAUCAAACUAAACACAUGAAGCAUCAAGUAAGCCUAUCUGGAGAGGGCAAGCACGUAAAUAAUUCUCAUCGACAUAUUAAAUAACCAAUAUGAACUAUCACAUCACGAAAAGCUUUAUAGAUAUUUCCUAUUGACAAAGUUAAUGAAUAUCACCAAGACACCAACGAUCAACAACCAUUUCUUAAUAUAUCACAAAAAUGAAAUCAAUAAAAUCAGAGUCAAUGACUAACCAAAUCAUUCCAAAUUUCCCCUACUAUGCAUUCGACCCAUGACUGCAACGGAGAAGUGAUGUUCCUCUCACUGAGAUCGUUCUUCCUCGGUUGGUUUCUCCCGGCUGCGACUCCGCUUAAGAGUAUAAAAAAACUGAAUAUUAGUAAUCAGAAGCAUUAUUCCCGAUUCAUUUCCACAACGAUUACAAAAACCUAAAUGAGAUUUUUUUUUUUGACCAAGCAAAUUUGUAGAUUAGAAAUCAGAAGCAUUAUUUCCGAUUACAUUGAUUGACGUAUUAUACAAAUAUAUUUCCAGUUCUAACUGUUAUUCACAAUCAAUUUACGCUAUUGAUGAAAUUAAUUCGAUUAUUACUAAGCAAUAACUAUGAAAUUGUCUUACCUUUGAAUCGAGACAAAAUGAACAUUUAGAUCGGAUAGGUUGUUUUCUGGUCUUCAUGGGAUAAAUUGGAUCUUCGUUCUCGCCUAGAUUGUCUUCAAUUGAAUUGUUCUUCAUCAUUUUGCAAUCACAUCUUCGAAUCAAAACCUCAGCGUGUAGUUGGAGUCGAACUAAGAUCUCGGGAAAUUUGGGUUUGGAUCUGGAGUUGUUGAACAGGUUCUUCGCUAAUUUUCAAUGCACAUGUCUAAUCGAACAAGAAAAUUGCAGAUUCUUGAAGGUUUUCAAAAGAGAUUGAAAAAGACAGAAGAAGAUGAAAGAGAUUUGUUCGGUUCUUUGUUUUCAUUGUUUUCUCAGGUAAAAAAAAAUAUUAUCUAUACCCUUUAUUCGAUAUAAUUAAUUGAAAAAUAUAGAAAUUUAAUUUGUCUAAGUAUUUUUUUUAUCCUUUCUAUUUAUUUAUUUUGUUACACUUAAGGACA